AGUAGGGUAAGCUAAUUAACAAGCUAUCGGGCUCAUAACCCAAAAAUAGAAUCUUCUUCCUACUA
rnacentral:tRNA from 1 species